AACGAACGCUGGCGGCAGGCUUAACACAUGCAAGUCGAACGCAUCCUUCGGGGUGAGUGGCAGACGGGUGAGUAACGCGUGGGAACGUGCCCUUCAGUUCGGGAUAACCCAGGGAAACUUGGGCUAAUACCGGAUACGUGCGCGAGCAGAAAGAUUUAUCGCUGAAGGAUCGGCCCGCGUCUGAUUAGCUAGUUGGUGGGGUAAUGGCCCACCAAGGGGACGAUAAGUAGCUGGUCUGAGAGGAUGAUCAGCCACAUUGGGACUGAGACACGGCCCAAACUCCUACGGGAGGCAGCAGUGGGGAAUAUUGGACAAUGGGCGCAAGCCUGAUCCAGCCAUGCCGCGUGAGUGAUGAAGGCCUUAGGGUUGUAAAGCUCUUUCGUCCGGGACGAUAAUGACGGUACCGGAAGAAGAAGCCCCGGCUAACUUCGUGCCAGCAGCCGCAGUAAGAC
rnacentral:rRNA from 1 species